CUACUGGAAACGGUAGCUAAUACCGCAUGACCUCGCAAGAGCAAAGUGGGGGACCUUAGGGCCUCACGCCAUCGGAUGAACCCAGAUGGGAUUAGCUAGUAGGUGGGGUAAUGGCUCACCUAGGCGACGAUCCCUAGCUGGUCUGAGAGGAUGACCAGCCACACUGGAACUGAGACACGGUCCAGACUCCUACGGGAGGCAGCAGUGGGGAAUAUUGCACAAUGGGCGCAAGCCUGAUGCAGCCAUGCCGCGUGUGUGAAGAAGGCCUCGGG
rnacentral:rRNA from 1 species